AUGUUCUCUACAUCUCUACUGCUCCUGCUGGCAGCUGCUUCUUAUGUGCAUGGUGAGGAACUGACUCAGCCUGCUUCCAUGACAGUCCAGCCAGGCCAGAGUCUCUCCAUCCAGUGCAAGGUUUCAUAUUCAGUUACGAGCCAUCAUACAGCUUGGAUUCGACAACCUGCAGGAAAAGCUCUGGAGUGGAUUGGAAUCAUCUAUACUAGUGGGAGUACAGCUUACAGUGAGAAACUGAAAAAUAAGUUCAGCAUCUCCAGAGACACUUCUACUAACACAAUAACAAUUGGAGGACAGAACAUGCAGACUGAAGACACAGCUGUGUAUUACUGCGCUCGUGAACCACAGUGA